AGAGAUUAAGAUAGUUCGUAAGAGAUUAAACCUUUUUGAGCAGAAAGGAUUUUUUUUUUUUGGUUUUGGGCGAGGCGAACGUUUGGAAAGGUUUUUAUUUUUAUUUUUAUUUUUAUUUUUAUCUUUUCUCUGUUUUGGGCAAGUCGCGAGGCCCGCGACCCGUGACCGCAUGCGUGAGCGCGAGCGUGAGGGAGCGCGAGGGAGCCGUGAGCCAAACCGUCUUUUUGGGUGAAUAAUUCGGUGCCCGCGAAUUAUUUGCGAAUAAGUAUUUUUGACGAAAAAAAGCGUUUCUUUCUGAAUUUUUCAGAAAAAUACGAAUAAGGUGUUUAAUUCGUUUCUUCAAAAAUUUGCGAAUAAUUUGCGAAUUAACUAACUAGGCAUACAGAUCGUUUUAUUCGGAUUUUCAACAAUUCGCGAAUAAUUUACAAAUAAUUCGCGAAUUAACUAAAUAUCACAAUCUCAUUUUCAUUCGACCGUCUCGUCAUCAGGCGAUGUGAGGCCCACCUCACAACCUCACAUUUCCGGUUGGUGAACCGGCUAUGAUAACAAUUAUAUAAUGACCCGACACACUAACAAUAAUAAUUUAUUGAGCCCAAACCACCGGCUCAAAAUACUUAAGUGUAGUUAUUAUUACUAUGUCCAUAGUCAUCAGCCUAAUUACACACACAACCCAAGAUUGCUAAACGAUAUAAGGCCCACCUUAUAUUUCUGGCUAGUGAACUGGCCCUAAUACUAAAUAUAACCCACUAACAAUAAUAACUUGUUGAAUCUAAACCACAUGUUGAAAAAGUUUAAGCUAAUUUAUUAUUAUUAGGGUCUACAAUCUUUUAUAUAUAUCCAGUCAUAACCUUAUUUUUAUCCGAUGUGGGAUUAUUAAAGUAUUAUCGUUUUGGUUGUCAGAGUUUUGAUUACGAAUUGUUUAGUGAUGUAUUUAUGCUAUAGUUUUAACACUUUUCAAAUUCAAGUAUUGUGUUUGGAUUUGUGCAACUGGAAUUUGUUAUUGUAGUUGGAACUGCACAGGGAUUUUGAACUGAUGUAAUUAAAACGAUGUUUAAAUUAACUGCAGUUUCAACUGCAGCAGUGGGUAAAGUAUUAGAUCAUGUGGUUUUGAAAGAGUAAAAAAGGGAGACAUCUUACUCA
rnacentral:lncRNA from 1 species